UGCUAAGGGAGCUACCAUUUAAUUUUUAUGGGGGGGCUAGGAUGAAAUUUGAAAAAAAUAGGCAGGACAGGAGUUUUGAGUAAAAAAAAAGGCAGGAUGUGACACUUGCAAAAAAAAAAAGUCAGGACGACAAAUUAGGUAAAAAAAAGUCAGGAUAAACUUUAAAAAAAAAGGCAGGACCGAUUAGAGUGAAAAAUAAAAAGGCAGGACAGAGAUUACAGCUAAAAAAAAUGCAGGACAAAAUUUUUCAUCCUAGCCCCCCCAUAAAAAUCAAAUGGUAG
rnacentral:lncRNA from 1 species